rnacentral:tRNA from 1 species
GCCCGGGUGGCGAAAUUGGUAGACGCACUGUCUUCAGGUGGCAGCAUCCGAAAGGUUGUGCUGGUUCGAAUCCAGUCCCGGGCACAA